rnacentral:rRNA from 1 species
GACGGCGACGGCGGGAGGGGCCUCGACAAGGGCUUCGGCUUCAACAAGGGCUUCGCCGCCAAGUACGACCUCGGGGACGAGGUCGGGCGGGGCCACUUCGGAUACACCUGCGCCGCCAGGAUCAGGAAGGGGGCGCGCAAGGGGGACGCCGUCGCCGUCAAGGUCAUUCCCAAGGCCAAGAUGACAACAUCCAUUGCUAUAGAGGAUGUCCGGAGGGAGGUGAAAAUUUUGAAGGCUUUAGCGGGGCACAAGAACCUGGUUCAGUUUUAUGAUGCAUAUGAGGACAACGAAAAUGUCUACAUAGUCAUGGAGUUGUGUGAGGGCGGGGAGCUUCUGGAUAGAAUACUUUCCAGAGGUGGAAAGUACUCCGAGGAUGAUGCAAAGUCUGUCCUGGUGCAAAUAUUGAAUGUUGUCGCUUUUUGCCACAUUCAAGGAGUGGUUCAUAGGGAUCUCAAACCAGAGAAUUUUCUUUUUACUUCGAAAGAUGAGAACUCUCAACUUAAGACAAUUGACUUUGGAUUAUCAGAUUUUGUAAAACCAGAUGAGAGACUAAAUGAUAUCGUUGGAAGUGCUUAUUAUGUUGCUCCAGAAGUUCUGCAUAGAUGCUAUAGCACAGAAGCGGAUGUCUGGAGUAUAGGUGUCAUUGCAUAUAUCCUCCUUUGUGGCAGCCGCCCUUUUUGGGCACGCACUGAAUCUGGCAUAUUCCGUUCUGUUCUCAAAGCUGACCCCAGUUAUAACGAGGCACCUUGGCCUUCUCUGACUCCAGAAGCAAUGGACUUCGUUAAGCGCUUGCUGUGCAAGGAUCCACGUAGAAGGAUGACUGCAGCACAAGCUUUAGGUCAUCCAUGGAUUAGAAAUUACAAUGACAUUAAGAUGCCAUUGGACGUCCUUAUAUUCCGUCUUAUCAAAGCUUAUAUUCGUUCUUCAUCAUUACGUAAAGCCGCUCUGAAGGCUUUAUCGAAGACUUUGACUGUUGAUGAGCUUUUUUAUCUCAAAGGGCAGUUUUCCUUAUUGGAACCUGAUAGAAAUGGAUGCAUCACCCUAGAUAAUAUCAGAAUGGCCUUAACAAGAGAAGCCACAGAUGCGAUGAAAGAAACACGAGUUCAGGAGAUUCUUGUCUCGUUGAGCGCUCUUCAGUACAGAAGAAUGGACUUCCACGAGUUCUGUGCAGCUGCAGUAAGUGUUCACCAGCUCGAAGCAUUAGACAGAUGGGAGCAACAUGCGAGAUCCGCUUAUGAAAUUUUCGAGAAGGAUGGCAAUCGAGCUAUUGUAAUUGACGAACUAGCUUCAGAACUGGGUCUCAGCCCCUCCGUGCCGCUGCACGUCGUCCUGCAGGACUGGAUCCGGCACACCGAUGGGAAGCUCAGCUUCCUUGGGUUUGUCAAGUUGUUGCAUGGCAUGUCCAGCAGGUCCCUGUCAAAGAUGAGAUAG